ensembl:lncRNA
AUGUGCUAAAAAAGUCUUUGAAAUGAGGCUUUCCUCUGCGGGGGAUAAAAAUGUUAAAAAGCUGAAUGUUCGGUCUGGGACAGGGGAGGAGAAGACAUCAUCGUUCCUUUUCCAAGGUGAAUUUCCUGGGGAUUUAUUUACUCCUUACUGGAAACUGAAAACCGUUAGGGAGAAGACGUAAGAUCAACGGGCAGUCAGAAAUUCAGAUCGCCACGGGUAAGGCUCUAGUGGGUUUCCCUUGGAGGAUUCUCCCCUUCAGGACAGAGCUACGGGGUGGCCACGUGCUCUGCCGCAUCCGCGUGGACAAGAGCGACAGUCGUGGGAAAGUCUCCUCUCGCCGCUGUGGCUGUGAGGAGCGGGCCCACCCUCUGCCUCCUGCUCACUGAGGGCCUGCUGGUUCCAAAGCGGUCACCGUCCCCACACCUUGAGGGGCCUUCGCUAGGAAUCGUCUCGAGCGGGGCGCGCGGAGAAAAGUCAUGGGACACCGGGUGACUCGCAACUCUCGCCUUUGCUGUGUCACAAGUGGACAUUCACGGGAAAGUGGGUCUCCCACCCCACCCUCUGCGUUUCCAGGAGACUCAGGCGUCGGGGUCUCUCGUAAAACCCGCGCCUUCUACAAGCGGACAGUUGGCCUUGUAAACUGCCGGAAUUUGCGCCUCUGAAAUUUUUGGCCACGUUUCUCUACAGCAAUAAAGCAGUAGAGCUGAUUCAAUGAAAUUAGCUCACGUGCUCGCAGGGAGCGCACCCAGAGCUGGUGAGCUGUACCAAAUGCAUCCAUUUCGGAGGUUCCUGGAAAUAUGAGGCCUCUGGCUUUAAGAGAAAAACAGAUUUACAUUCCUCCCCGACUCAGCAGGAAACCUUAAAUCAAAGGCAACCCACAAAUCAGUGCGUGCUUAUCUGCUGCGCGCUAGGCCCGGUUUGUAAUUACACGUUUAUUUGUGUACGAUCGACGCCAGGCUGCUCGUCAGACUGCAAGGCCCCCGAGCACAUUUGUCUUGAUUAUCCUCGAACCCCAGGGCCCGGCAGUGCCUGGCACACAGGCACGCUAAAUAUGUGUGCAAAGAAGGAAGGGAAGGAGGGAAGGAAGAGAGGAGGGAAAGGAGGGAGAGAGAGAAUAAAGGGAGGAGCAACGAAGGUUGGAGCGAGUGAGAAAUGCUACAAGUGGAAGAUACUUACAAGGGUCCCGUCCAGCAGAAUAGGGUUUACUUGUAAUCCUUCCCAUGUGUAAAACGGAGACAACAGCACUCAUUGCAAUUUUUAUUUUAUACUCAAAUCGCUCUCUUUUAAGUUAUGUGAUGUGUCAGACAAGAGGUCCCUGCCCUGGGCCCCGUGCUUCAGAGCGUCCCGACCUUGCUGCCCCCUUGGAGUCUGUGUGGACCCCUCUCCAGAUAGUCCACUGGGUCUUCCACAUGAGGGUUGUGCACCUAGCCCAGCGUGUCCAAGGAUGUGAGGGCAGGAAGCAGGGCCUGGAGGGAGCGGAGGCGUCUACACACGUGUCCUGGGUGUGGGACUGAGGCUGGAGGGGGACAGAAGGGGUGGAGGCAGGGUCACGUCCAAGGUUGCUCCUCCCAUGUGACCGGGGUCCAGGGCGGAACCCCAAGGCGGCGAGAACUCUAAAUUCUCACCUGCUGUCCGGUCAUCGCCAAGGGCUGUUUGUCUAGGGAUCCAGCGCCCGUCUGAUGCCAGGAUACAGUUUUAAUUUUCACAACCUCACAGCACAGUUUAACCCAACAGAGAGCAAGGGCUGCUUCCCCUCUGGUUCGUAGUCGUCGGUCACACGGCACCACCUCGGGAUUCUGCCAGCGUCGUCACCUGCCAUUCCUCGCACGGGCCGGGAGGCAGAGGCUACAGGCGCCCGUUUUACAGACGAGGAAACUGAGCACAGGGAGAGAAGCCUGGCUCUCCAGGCCACAGAGACAAGGCCGAGCCGGGAGCUCCAAACCCAGGCAGCCCAGCCCCAGAGGCCACGACCUUGACCUCUGCAAGGUGAAAUCCCAGCUGAGAAUCAACCUCUUUUCAAAGACUAUAUUCUCCUCAUAUCUGUUGUCACCAACUUGUUGGUACUUGUUUUAUUUACUUGGUUGUUUUAUGCUUGUGUUUAUUUUUAUUAUACUUUCCAUUUAUAAUGCUCCUUAAAAUUUUCCAGCUAGACAUUGUAUUUCCUUUCUCUUUUCUGAGACGUGGAAUUUACAUCUCGGCCUCUAUUCUAAAUCGAUAGCGUUACCAGCAGCUGCGCCCACUCAAAAGCAUUCUUUCACUCGAAUUUCUCUGCUUGUCAGGGUCAGUGAAUCUGCGUUCAUUGGCUGCAUUCACAUUUUACUACAGUGAUAACUGUAGAAUUUUAAUAAAUAAAAUUGUAGAAGAUCUAUUUCAUUAACAUAACAAAAUGAUUCUAUUAUUAGCUAAAAACCAACAGCAUUGUUGGCACAAUUUUUAUUGUUUCAACUGAAAUGCCCGGGAAAGAAAUAAUUUUGUCACGAGGAUAAACUGGCUACUCGUUCAGUUAUUUGUGAGAACAUGACAGCUGUGUCUCAUUAAUCAGCAUUUAGAUUUUUGGGGUAAUGUUUAAUGUACACACAAAAUUCUUUAGGUUAUGAAAGUAUUUCUUAUUUUUUUUUAAGUUAUGAGAGCAGAGAAGGUGUGGUCACAUAAAGUAUUGAAAAAGACUACAGAGUUUUUAAUACUUUUUCCAUUCUACAUUCUAUCACUUUAUGAGAUGACUGACAAGAAAACAGGAAACCCCACACCCCUCUAGGCUGUCUCCAUCCUGCCGGCAAGAAUCAAGGGCCCACAUGUGUCAUCCGCCUCAGUUAAGGCUCAUAUUUCUAUUUUACUGAUGAGAAAACCGAAGCUCAGAGACUGGGUGACUGGUGAAUGUCACAGACCAGCUGUAGAAAACUCACUGUCAGCACUGGCGAAUUCACCUGCCGGCCGGCCCGUGCACGCGCCUGUCACAGACGUCUCCCCAUCGAGUGGCCUCAUGAGCAUCGCUGUGAGAUGCCACCCCACCUGCAGGCAGCUCAGAGCUUAAGGAAGUUCUUACCCUGGGCCUGUGUCUGCCUUCCAGGAGCAUCUGUCCUUGUUCUGCCCCAUGGAGUUUCACGGAACAAGUGUUCCAUUGAGAAGUUGUGCAAAUAUCGGAAAACUAUCAAUUCCUUCCAUUUCUCAUUG